UACGUAGGUGGCAAGCGUUAUCCGGAAUUAUUGGGCGUAAAGGGAGCGUAGGCGGCUUGAUAAGUCUGAGGUGAAAGUUCGGGGCUCAACUCCGGAUUGCCUUAGAAACUGUCAGGCUAGAGUGCAGGAGAGGGCAAUGGAAUUCCAUGUGUAGCGGUAAAAUGCGUAGAUAUAUGGAGGAACACCAGUGGCGAAGGCGGUUGCCUGGCCUGUAACUGACGCUGAGGCUCGAAAGCGUGGGGAGCAAAUA
rnacentral:rRNA from 1 species